rnacentral:rRNA from 1 species
UUACCUACCCUUGACAUGUACGGAAUCCCUGAGAGAUUAGGGAGUGCUCGAAAGAGAACCGUAACACAGGUGCUGCAUGGCUGUCGUCAGCUCGUGUCGUGAGAUGUUGGGUUAAGUCCCGCAACGAGCGCAACCCUUGUCAUUAGUUGCUACGAAAGGGCACUCUAAUGAGACUGCCGGUGACAAACCGGAGGAAGGUGGGGAUGACGUCAAGUCCUCAUGGCCCUUAUGGGUAGGGCUUCACACGUCAUACAAUGGUACAUACAGAGGGCCGCCAACCCGCGAGGGGGAGCUAAUCCCAGAAAGUGUAUCGUAGUCCGGAUUGUAGUCUGCAACUCGACUACAUGAAGUUGGAAUCGCUAGUAAUCGCGGAUCAGCAUGUCGCGGUGAAUACGUUCCCGGGUCUUGUACACACCGCCCGUCACACCAUGGGAGCGGGUUUCACCAGAAGUAGGUAGCCUAACCGUAAGGAGGGCGCUUACCACGGUGGGAUUCGUGACUGGGGUGAAGUCGUAACAAGGUAGCCGUA